GUGAACGUAGCUCAAGUGGUUAGAGCACCAGGCUGUGGACCUGGGGGUUGGGGGUUCGAGUCCCCUCGUUCACCCCA
rnacentral:tRNA from 1 species